UAUAUAUAUAUAUAUAUUAUAUAAUGACAGAUAGCUUUCUUGCAACAAUGUACUUGAGGUCGAUAGACGAUCAAUGUGUGAGUAAAGAGCGAGUACAAAUAGUAUAGUGAUGAUAACAUUGGGUUCGAGAUGCUUGAGGUUGUAUUUUGUUGAAAAUACAAUAAAGAAUAAGAAAAAUUGUUACAAAUGUUAUAAAGAAGACAUUUAUUUAGUGAAUCAA